GUGAGGAAUUUUGCGCAAUGGGGGAAACCCUGACGCAGCAACGCCGCGUGAGUGAUGAAGGCCUUCGGGUCGUAAAGCUCUGUCAAGUGGGAAGAAAGUAGAAGGUGUUAAUAUCAUUUUUUAUUGACGGUACCACUGAAGGAAGCACCGGCUAACUCCGUGCCAGCAGCCGCGGUAAUACGGAGGGUGCAAGCGUUAUUCGGAAUUAUUGGGCGUAAAGGGCGCGUAGGCGGUUUUUUAAGUCAGGUGUGAAAGCCCGGAGCUUAACUCCGGAAGUGCAUUUGAAACUGAAAGACUUGAGUAUGGGAGAGGGAAGUGGAAUUCCUGGUGUAGAGGUGAAAUUCGUAGAUAUCAGGAGGAACACCGGUGGCGAAGGCGACUUCCUGGACCAAUACUGACGCUGAGGCGCGAAGGCGUGGGUAGCAAACAGGAUUAGAAACCCUUGUAGUCC
rnacentral:rRNA from 1 species